UCACCUCCAGCCACGCCUCUGUCAGGUCCCGUCCAUCACUGCACACGGCGUCACUGGCGUUGAACCCGAGAGACAGUGUGAGGUUGAGAGGCGUGUCCUCCGGGACCUUCCAUACGCCGCUAUGGAAGGUUUCCAGGUAAACAUCGCUCUGGAAGGACUCCAGGUAAACAUUACUUCGGAAGGUAUCUAGGUAGACGUCACUGGAGCUCACGGCGCCUGUGGUGAAGCCUAGACAGCCCAACACAAUCAGCAUCACUGGUGGCAUCUUCAUUCAUAUAACAAUUCCAACGAUCGAUAAGAUUGCUAAUGUUUUGUUUGCUAAAGUAAAAUCUGAGUAAUUGUUUCUUUGCGAGCUACAUAAGCCUUCUCUUUACUGAUGUAUUUGUAACACUCACUGAAUAGAAAUCCUGGUAGACCUUUGAGAAUUGAUGAUCUGAUCAACACAUUGAGUUUAUUAGAUUUUGUCACCGCUUAAACGUCGUGUCCUGUUUAAACUAGCGUUUAGUCUGAGAUUUUUCUCUGCACAACAUCCAACAUUCGUUCGCUUGAUGGUUCGUUCACUUGACAGUUGUUGACGGCAGGCUGACCAGGAUGGUGGAGGCUGGUGGCACAGGCUGCCCGUACUUGCCCCGGCGCCCUCACUCACCCGAACAACAUAGACCCCCAAAGUCAACGGCUGUAAUCGCAACACAAGUGGAUCAAG